rnacentral:lncRNA from 1 species
AAGUAACUUUCUUUUCUUCUUUUCACCAACUUAUCUUGCCCCCCCCCACUUCCUCACUUCCCCACUUACCUGCCCAAAACCUACUCCUUCUUCCAUAGCUUUCUCCACCCCCAUAUAAAGAGCUCAACGGGCUUUUGAAGAUCCGACCUUUGUUGGCCUUGGCCAGGAACUUUCUCUUAAGCAAUUAUUUCAUAACCUUUGAAAACUGGUCGAAUGGGAAACCCCAACCUUCCAACUUUUCUACACACUUCGUUCAUGGUUACAAGACCCCUCCCUAUUUAGAGUAUUGAUAGAAAAUUCAUCGCCAUACCUGAUAUCCUGUACUUGUAAUACAUUCUGUGGGAAGGAACUGAUGACCUCAAACCAUCAGACUCUGCCUCAAGUGCUCAGAGAAACAAGAGCUUCCCUCCUUUGCUGAUAUACAUUAAAUUAUUGGUAAAAGAAAAAAAAACCAGAAGUAUUGGAUUGUUUUCUUAAAACAAAACAAAACAAAAACCCAAAAAACACAAAAAAACAACAAAAACAACGGGGUGAACACCAUUUCUUCUUUAAUGCCAAAACCGUUUCUCCUUUUGAGUUGGCCUUUAAUUCAGUACCAUUUGUUUUGACCACCCAGUCAAGAGGUAACAACUGCCUCUUCUCGAGGGCACUCUGGAGGGUAUCUGUGUUAAGUUUGUAUAUAUUUAUUUAUGCUUAAUUUAAUGGGAAUGUGUAAAUAUGAUGAGCAAGUAGUUUGGGAUUAUUUAUCUGUGACUCUAUACCUCUGUGAAUGGGUGGUUUAAAAGAAAAAAAGAACCGCUUGACCCUAGCUAGAAUCCUAUUUGAAUUCUUCUGUUCUUUAUAGACAAGCUGUUAUGGUAUUGGGUAGAAAUUGGUUUAUUGUCCAGUGUUAAUCUGAUUUACAUAAAUAAAAAAGAUUGUUGUGUUUUUGUUGUGUUCUCCUCUUCAGUUCCUUAAACAUAAAGAUUGUUCCAUUCUACAGACAGAAACAAAGAUAUAGCAAAAAAGAUUUCUUCCUUUUGCACCCCCGCCACAGACGUACAUACAGUGUUUUUGUUACAACAGAAAUAUAAUAAAUUUUGCAUAUC